GGUUAAGUUAGAAAGGGCGCACGGUGAAUGCCUUGGCACUAGGAGCCGAUGAAGGACGGGACUAACACCGAUAUGCUUCGGGGAGCUGUAAGUGAGCUUUGAUCCGGAGAUUUCCGAAUGGGGAAACCCACUGUUCGUAAUGGAACAGUAUCUUUAUCUGAAUACAUAGGAUAUUGAAGGCAGACCCGGGGAACUGAAACAUCUAAGUACCCGGAGGAAGAGAAAGCAAAUGCGAUUUCCUGAGUAGCGGCGAGCGAAACGGAAUUAGCCCAAACCAAGAGGCUUGCCUCUUGGGGUUGUAGGACACUCUAUACGGAGUUACAAAGGAACGAAGUAAAUGAAGCGACCUGGAAAGGUCCGUCGAAGAAGGUAACAACCCUGUAGUUGAAACUUCGUUCCCUCUUGAGUGGAUCCUGAGUACGGCGGAACACGUGAAAUUCCGUCGGAAGCUGGGAGGACCAUCUCCCAAGGCUAAAUACUACCUAGUGACCGAUAGUGAACCAGUACCGUGAGGGAAAGGUGAAAAGCACCCCGGAAGGGGAGUGAAAGAGAUCCUGAAACCGUGUGCCUACAAGUAGUCAGAGCCCGUUAACGGGUGAUGGCGUGCCUUUUGUAGAAUGAACCGGCGAGUUACGAUCCCAUGCAAGGUUAAGCUGAUAAGGCGGAGCCGUAGCGAAAGCGAGUCUGAAUAGGGCGUUUAGUAUGUGGUUGUAGACCCGAAACCAGGUGAUCUACCCAUGUCCAGGGUGAAGUUCAGGUAACACUGAAUGGAGGCCCGAACCCACGCACGUUGAAAAGUGCGGGGAUGAGGUGUGGGUAGCGGAGAAAUUCCAAUCGAACCUGGAGAUAGCUGGUUCUCUCCGAAAUAGCUUUAGGGCUAGCCUCAUGUUGUGAGAGUCUUGGAGGUAGAGCACUGAUUGGACUAGGGGCCCCCAACGGGUUACCGAAUUCAGUCAAACUCCGAAUGCCAAAGACUUAUCCAUGGGAGUCAGACUGCGAGUGAUAAGAUCCGUAGUCAAAAGGGAAACAGCCCAGACCACCAGCUAAGGUCCCCAAGUAUACGUUAAGUGGAAAAGGAUGUGGAGUUGCUUAGACAACCAGGAUGUUGGCUUAGAAGCAGCCACCAUUUAAAGAGUGCGUAAUAGCUCACUGGUCGAGUGACUCUGCGCCGAAAAUGUACCGGGGCUAAACGUAUCACCGAAGCUGUGGAUUGACAUCUUUGAUGUCAGUGGUAGGAGAGCGUUCUAAUGCUGUGAAGUCAGACCGUAAGGACUGGUGGAGCGCUUAGAAGUGAGAAUGCCGGUAUGAGUAGCGAAAGACAAGUGAGAAUCUUGUCCACCGAAUGCCUAAGGUUUCCUGAGGAAGGCUCGUCCGCUCAGGGUUAGUCGGGACCUAAGCCGAGGCUGAAAAGCGUAGGCGAUGGCCAACAGGUUGAUAUUCCUGUACCACCUCCCCGCCGUUUGAGUAAUGGGGGGACGCAGUAGGAUAGGGUAAGCGCGCUGCUGGAUAUGCGCGUUCAAGCAGUUAGGCUGAUGAGUAGGCAAACCGCUCAUCAUAAAGGCUGAGCUGUGAUGACGAGGGAAUUAUAGUACCGAAGUUCCUGAUUCCAACUGCCAAGAAAAGCCUCUAGCGAGGCGGGAGGUGCCCGUACCGCAAACCGACACAGGUAGGCGAGGAGAGAAUCCUAAGGUGAUCGAGAGAACUCUCGUUAAGGAACUCGGCAAAAUGACCCCGUAACUUCGGGAGAAGGGGUGCUCUGGUAGGGUGUAUAGCCCGAGAGAGCCGCAGUGAAUAGGCCCAGGCGACUGUUUAGCAAAAACACAGGUCUCUGCGAAGCCGCAAGGCGAAGUAUAGGGGCUGACGCCUGCCCGGUGCUGGAAGGUUAAGAGGAGGGGUUAUCCUUUGGGAGAAGCUCUGAAUCGAAGCCCCAGUAAACGGCGGCCGUAACUAUAACGGUCCUAAGGUAGCGAAAUUCCUUGUCGGGUAAGUUCCGACCCGCACGAAAGGCGUAACGAUCUGGGCACUGUCUCAACGAGAGACUCGGUGAAAUUAUAGUACCUGUGAAGAUGCAGGUUACCCGCGACAGGACGGAAAGACCCCGUGGAGCUUUACUGUAGCCUGAUAUUGAAUUUUGGUACAGCUUGUACAGGAUAGGUAGGAGCCUGAGAAGCCGGAGCGCUAGCUUCGGUGGAGGCGUCGGUGGGAUACUACCCUGGCUGUAUUGAAAUUCUAACCCGCGGCCCUGAUCGGGCCGGGAGACAGUGUCAGGUGGGCAGUUUGACUGGGGCGGUCGCCUCCUAAAAUGUAACGGAGGCGCCCAAAGGUUCCCUCAGAAUGGUUGGAAAUCAUUCGUAGAGUGUAAAGGCACAAGGGAGCUUGACUGCGAGACCUACAAGUCGAGCAGGGACGAAAGUCGGGCUUAGUGAUCCGGUGGUUCCGCAUGGAAGGGCCAUCGCUCAACGGAUAAAAGCUACCCCGGGGAUAACAGGCUUAUCUCCCCCAAGAGUCCACAUCGACGGGGAGGUUUGGCACCUCGAUGUCGGCUCAUCGCAUCCUGGGGCUGUAGUCGGUCCCAAGGGUUGGGCUGUUCGCCCAUUAAAGCGGUACGCGAGCUGGGUUCAGAACGUCGUGAGACAGUUCGGUCCCUAUCCGUCGUGGGCGUAGGAAAUUUGAGAGGAGCUGUCCUUAGUACGAGAGGACCGGGAUGGACACACCGCUGGUGUACCAGUUGUCUUGCCAAAGGCAUCGCUGGGUAGCUAUGUGUGGACGGGAUAAGUGCUGAAAGCAUCUAAGCAUGAAGCCCCCCUCAAGAUGAGAUUUCCCAUAGCGCAAGCUAGUAAGAUCCCUGAAAGAUGAUCAGGUUGAUAGGUCAGAGGUGGAAGCGUGGCGACAUGUGUAGCUGACUGAUACUAAUCGAUCGAGGACUUAACCAA
rnacentral:rRNA from 1 species